UUGCUAGGUGAGAUGAUGGUAAUGGUUUUAUGCUUGUUAUUUUCUCAAGGAUAAAAAACAAGAAGGGGCCAGGCAGUGGUGGCACAUGCCUUUAAUCCCAG
rnacentral:miRNA from 1 species